rnacentral:rRNA from 1 species
GGCUUAGAGUUUGAUCAUGGCUCAGGAUAAACGCUGGCGGCGCACAUAAGACAUGCAAGUCGAACGGACUUAACUCAUUCUUUUAGAUUGAGAGCGGUUAGUGGCGGACUGGUGAGUAACACGUAAGCAACCUGCCUAUUAGAGGGGAAUAACAGUGAGAAAUCAUUGCUAAUACCGCAUAUGCUAACAGUAUCGCAUGAUACAGUUAGGAAAGGAGCAAUCCGCUAAUAGAUGGGCUUGCGUCUGAUUAGCUAGUUGGUGGGGUAACGGCCUACCAAGGCGACGAUCAGUAGCCGGACUGAGAGGUUGAACGGCCACAUUGGGACUGAGAUACGGCCCAGACUCCUACGGGAGGCAGCAGUCGGGAAUAUUGCGCAAUGGAGGAAACUCUGACGCAGUGACGCCGCGUAUAGGAAGAAGGUUUUCGGAUUGUAAACUAUUGUCGUUAGGGAAGAUACAAGACAGUACCUAAGGAGGAAGCCCCGGCUAACUAUGUGCCAGCAGCCGCGGUAAUACAUAGGGGGCAAGCGUUAUCCGGAUUUAUUGGGUGUAAAGGGUGCGUAGAUGGAGGAGCAAGUUGGUUGUGAAAUCCCUCGGCUCAACUGAGGAACUGCAACCAAAACUACUUCCCUUGAGUGUCGGAGAGGAAAGUG